GAUGAACGCUGGCGGCGUGCCUAAUACAUGCAAGUCGAGCGAACAGACGAGGAGCUUGCUCCUCUGACGUUAGCGGCGGACGGGUGAGUAACACGUGGAUAACCUACCUAUAAGACUGGGAUAACUUCGGGAAACCGGAGCUAAUACCGGAUAAUAUAUUGAACCGCAUGGUUCAAUAGUGAAAGACGGUUUUGCUGUCACUUAUAGAUGGAUCCGCGCCGCAUUAGCUAGUUGGUAAGGUAACAGCUUACCAAGGCGACGAUGCGUUGCCGACGUGUGAGGGGGAUCGGCCACACUGGAAGUGGGACACGGUCCAGACUCCUGAGGGAGGCAGCAGUAGGGAAUCUUACGCAAUGGGCGAAAGCCUGACGGAGCAACGCCGCGUGAGUGAUGAAGGUCUUCGGAUCGUAAAACUCUGUUAUUAGGGAAGAACAAAUGUGUAAGUAACUAUGCACGUCUUGACGGUACCUAAUCAGAAAGCCACGGCUAACUACGUG
rnacentral:rRNA from 1 species